GGCCUAAUUGCAUUGCACAACAACAGAAAUAAUGUCCUGUAGCUAUUUGUACAUAGCUUGGCACUUAUUGUUCAGUAUUUUUUUCUUGGGAUGUUUUAUCUUCAUGUGUGAUAAAAUGAAAUGUAGAUUGACUGCUUUGACUCCCAAUCCUUGAUUGUUGUUGUUGUUGUUGUUCUUGUAAGCUAGAACAUUCAACUUGGUAAAGUAUUUGUUCAAUUUCAAGUCUUACCAAUCCUCUAUGUAGACGGAGUAUUCUUCUAAGCCUUGGUAUCAAACUGCGACAAAACAAUGUUUCCUCAUCAUCUUUCCCAAUUGCAUUGUUGCUGUGAAAUUUAGCAGGGCUAUGCUCAUCUUUACUUUCUUUUAAAUGGUUUCAAUUGGCUUCGCAGCAUUGUAAAACACUUUGUCCAUUUCAAGCGCUUUGUUUGCUUCAUUCCAAGCUCUCUUUCUCUUACUGGCUUUACUUUUGUUGGAUUUAGGUACAAAGUCAGCGUCAGUC